GACGAACGCUGGCGGCGCGCCUAACACAUGCAAGUCGAACGGAGCUGAGAGAAGCUUGCUUUCUUAGCUUAGUGGCGAACGGGUGGGUAACGCGUGAGUAACCUGCCCUGGAGUGGGGGACAACAGUUGGAAACGACUGCUAAUACCGCAUAAGCCCACAGCUCGGCAUCGAGCAGAGGGAAAAGGAGUGAUCCGCUUUGAGAUGGCCUCGCGUCCGAUUAGCUGGUUGGUGAGGUAACGGCCCACCAAGGCGACGAUCGGUAGCCGGACUGAGAGGUUGAACGGCCACAUUGGGACUGAGACACGGCCCAGACUCCUACGGGAGGCAGCAGUGGGGAAUAUUGCACAAUGGGGGAAACCCUGAUGCAGCGACGCCGCGUGGAGGAAGAAGGUCUUCGGAUUGUAAACUCCUGUUGUUGAGGAAGAUAAUGACGGUACUCAACAAGGAAGUGACGGCUAACUACGUG
rnacentral:rRNA from 1 species